rnacentral:rRNA from 1 species
AGCAGCCGCGGUAAUUCCAGCUCCAAUAGCGUAUAUUUAAAGUUGUUGCAGUUAAAAGCCGUAGUUGAAUUUCUGGCCGUGCGGGCGGUCCGUCUUUUUGGCGAGUACUGUUCUGUGUGGGUCCACCUUUCUGGUGAACAGUAUGUCUUUAUUGGUGUUUGGGGCAGGCAGCAGCAUAUCCUUGAAAAAAAUUAGAGUGUUUAAAGCAGGCAUUUUGCUUGAAUAG